CAGGCGGCCUCAGCUCUCACU
rnacentral:miRNA from 1 species